GAUGUAGGGGGCCAGCGUUGUUCGGAAUUACUGGGCGUAAAGGGUUCGUAGGUGGCCAACUAAGUCAGACGUGAAAUCCCUCAGCUUAACUGGGGAACUGCGUCUGAGACUGGAUGGCUUGAGUGCAGGAGAGGAACGCGGAAUUCCAGGUGUAGCGGUGAAAUGCGCAGAUAUCGGGAGGAACACCGGUGGCGAAGGCGGUUCUCUGGGCCUGUACUGACGCUGAGGAGCGAAAGCGUGGGGAGCGAACAGG
rnacentral:rRNA from 1 species